rnacentral:rRNA from 1 species
CACUUAGAGGAAGGAAAGGUCGUAACAAGGUUUCCGUAGGUGAACCUGCGGAAGGAUCA